rnacentral:rRNA from 1 species
CCCUUAGAUGUUCUGGGCCGCACGCGCGCUACACUGAUGCAUUCAACGAGUCUAAAUCCUGCUCUGAUAGGGGUGGGUAAUCUUUUGAAUGUGCAUCGUGAUUGGGAUAGAUGAUUGCAAUUUUUCAUCUUCAACGAGGAAUGCCUAGUAAACGCAAGUCAUCAGCUUGCAUUGAUUACGUCCCUGCCCUUUGUACACACCGCCCGUCGCUCCUACCGAUUGAAUGAUCCGAUGAAUAUCAUGGAUUGAGGAUGCAAGCAGGCUCGCCUGUCUUCAUCUUCGAGAAGUGAAGUAAAUCUUAUCAUUUAGAGGAAGGAGAAGUCGUAACA